AAUCAACGCUGGCGGCGUGCCUCAGACAUGCAAGUCGAACGAUUAAAGCUCUCUUCGGAGAGUGUAUAGAGUGGCGUACGGGUGAGUAACACGUAAGUAAUCUACCUUUGAGUGGGGAAUAACGUCCGGAAACGGACGCUAAUACCGCAUAAUGCAGCGGCAUCGCAAGAUGACAGUUGUUAAAGAAUUUAUUCGCUUGAAGAGGAGCUUGCGGCAGAUUAGCUAGUUGGUAAGGUAAUGGCUUACCAAGGCUACGAUCUGUAACCGGUCUAAGAGGACGGUCGGUCACACUGACACUGAAUAACGGGUCAGACUCCUACGGGAGGCAGCAGUCGGGAAUUUUGGGCAAUGGGCGAAAGCCUGACCCAGCAACGCCGCGUGAAGGAUGAAGUAUUUCGGUAUGUAAACUUCGAAAGAAUGGGAAGAAUCAAUGACGGUACCAUUUAUAAGGUCCGGCUAACUACGUGCCAGCCGCCCG
rnacentral:rRNA from 1 species